AAUUCUUUGUUAGGCUUCUUACGCUGUAGCAAUGGUACAAUCUUCUUUAAGCUCGAAAAGCUUUAACUUUUAUUUUUGUUGUGAAAACUUUUAUCAUUGCAGUCUAGUCUUUUAUUGUAUUCCAGUCAAUGUUUUCAACAAGUAAAUAUGGACAUGGUUCUCUUAUCCUAUAAUGAUUAUGUGCUUCCAAAACAAGCAGUUCGAAAUGUAUAGUUCUAUAUGGGAGAUGAUCUCUAUGACGAGGGGUAAAAUGUAAAACUAUUCGUAUAAGGAUUAAGGGU
rnacentral:misc_RNA from 1 species